rnacentral:lncRNA from 1 species
GCGUGCUAGGGUUAGUACCUACCCUAGAUUUAUGGAGAAGAAAGGAGAGAUGGGGGUAGCAGCUUGGAGAGAAACUUAGGAUUGGCUUGAUGGGAAGAGAGAAAGGGAAAAGCUUUAACGGAGGAGAGAAAGAGGAGACCCCAUAAAGGGGCUGAUGUCUUGAGAAAAGAGGGCUAAAGGUGCUAUUUAUAGAGUGGAGAGGCUAGGAUUUCAUGAAAAG